UACGAAGGGGGCUAGCGUUGCUCGGAAUCACUGGGCGUAAAGGGCGCGUAGGCGGUCAGCACAAGUCAGUUGUGAAAUCUCCGGGCUUAACCCGGAAAGGUCAACUGAUACUGUGCGACUAGAGUGCGGAAGGGGCAACUGGAAUUCUCGGUGUAGCGGUGAAAUGCGUAGAUAUCGAGAGGAACACCUGCGGCGAAGGCGGGUUGCUGGGCUGAUACUGACGCUGAGGCGCGAAAGCCAGGGGAGCGAACGGGG
rnacentral:rRNA from 1 species